GGGCCGAUAGAUCAACGGUAGAUCGCUUCCCUUGCAAGGAAGAGGCUUCGGGUUCAAAUCCCGAUCGGUCCA
rnacentral:tRNA from 1 species